CCUAAGAAAUUAGCUGUGUUUGGUAACGGAUUUAAGGGAAAUCAGGCAGCGGCCAGACAACCGUAGAGAUGGUAUCCACAGAUGAAUUGUGUUUCUACUCCAGUUUAUCUACUGAUUCCAUCUCAUAUUA